UGGGCGUUAAGUUGCAGGGUAUAGACCCGAAACCCGGUGAUCUAGCCAUGGGCAGGUUGAAGGUUGGGUAACACUAACUGGAGGACCGAACCGACUAAUGUUGAAAAAUUAGCGGAUGACCUGUGGCUGGGGGUGAAAGGCCAAUCAAACCGGGAGAUAGCUGGUUCUCCCCGAAAGCUAUUUAGGUAGCGCCUCGUGAAUUCAUCUCCGGGGGUAGAGCACUGUUUCGGCUAGGGGGCCAUCCCGGCUUACCAACCCGAUGCAAACUGCGAAUACCGGAGAAUGUUAUCACGGGAGACACACGGCGGGUGCUAACGUCCGUCGUGAAGAGGGAAACAACCCAGACCGCCAGCUAAGGUCCCAAAGUCAUGGUUAAGUGGGAAACGAUGUGGGAAGGCCCAGACAGCCAGGAUGUUGGCUUAGAAGCAGCCAUCAUUUAAAGAAAGCGUAAUAGCUCACUGGUCGAGUCGGCCUGCGCGGAAGAUGUAACGGGGCUAAACCAUGCACCGAAGCUGCGGCAGCGACGCUGAUGCGUUGUUGGGUAGGGGAGCGUUCUGUAAGCCUGUGAAGGUGGCCUGUGAGGGUUGCUGGAGGUAUCAGAAGUGCGAAUGCUGACAUAAGUAACGAUAAAGCGGGUGAAAAGCCCGCUCGCCGGAAGACCAAGGGUUCCUGUCCAACGUUAAUCGGGGCAGGGUGAGUCGACCCCUAAGGCGAGGCCGAAAGGCGUAGUCGAUGGGAAACGGGUUAAUAUUCCCGUACUUGGUGUUACUGCGAAGGGGGGACGGAGAAGGCUAUGUUGGCCGGGCGACGGUUGUCCCGGUUUAAGCGUGUAGGUGUGUGUUCCAGGUAAAUCCGGUUCACUUUAACACUGAGGCGUGAUGACGAGGCACUACGGUGCUGAAGCAACAAAUGCCCUGCUUCCAGGAAAAGCCUCUAAGCAUCAGGUAACAUCAAAUCGUACCCCAAACCGACACAGGUGGUCAGGUAGAGAAUACCAAGGCGCUUGAGAGAACUCGGGUGAAGGAACUAGGCAAAAUGGUGCCGUAACUUCGGGAGAAGGCACGCUGACACGUAGGUGAAGUGAUUUACUCAUGGAGCUGAAGUCAGUCGAAGAUACCAGCUGGCUGCAACUGUUUAUUAAAAACACAGCACUGUGCAAACACGAAAGUGGACGUAUACGGUGUGACGCCUGCCCGGUGCCGGAAGGUUAAUUGAUGGGGUCAGCGCAAGCGAAGCUCCUGAUCGAAGCCCCGGUAAACGGCGGCCGUAACUAUAACGGUCCUAAGGUAGCGAAAUUCCUUGUCGGGUAAGUUCCGACCUGCACGAAUGGCGUAAUGAUGGCCAGGCUGUCUCCACCCGAGACUCAGUGAAAUUGAACUCGCUGUGAAGAUGCAGUGUACCCGCGGCAAGACGGAAAGACCCCGUGAACCUUUACUAUAGCUUGACACUGAACAUUGAGCCUUGAUGUGUAGGAUAGGUGGGAGGCUUUGAAGUGUGGACGCCAGUCUGCAUGGAGCCGACCUUGAAAUACCACCCUUUAAUGUUUGAUGUUCUAACGUGGACCCGUAAUCCGGGUUGCGGACAGUGUCUGGUGGGUAGUUUGACUGGGGCGGUCUCCUCCUAAAGAGUAACGGAGGAGCACGAAGGUUGGCUAAUCCUGGUCGGACAUCAGGAGGUUAGUGCAAUGGCAUAAGCCAGCUUGACUGCGAGCGUGACGGCGCGAGCAGGUGCGAAAGCAGGUCAUAGUGAUCCGGUGGUUCUGAAUGGAAGGGCCAUCGCUCAACGGAUAAAAGGUACUCCGGGGAUAACAGGCUGAUACCGCCCAAGAGUUCAUAUCGACGGCGGUGUUUGGCACCUCGAUGUCGGCUCAUCACAUCCUGGGGCUGAAGUAGGUCCCAAGGGUAUGGCUGUUCGCCAUUUAAAGUGGUACGCGAGCUGGGUUUAGAACGUCGUGAGACAGUUCGGUCCCUAUCUGCCGUGGGCGCUGGAGAACUGAGGGGGGCUGCUCCUAGUACGAGAGGACCGGAGUGGACGCAUCACUGGUGUUCGGGUUGUCAUGCCAAUGGCACUGCCCGGUAGCUAAAUGCGGAAGAGAUAAGUGCUGAAAGCAUCUAAGCACGAAACUUGCCCCGA
rnacentral:rRNA from 1 species